AAGACGUGUGGGUGCGCUAUUUCCUGGUGAGGAUUGUAACUUUCCAUGAAUUUUCCAUCCAUAACAUUUGGUAUUCUCAUUAAAAGGAGUCAACAAGCAUGCCUCUUAAGAGCGUGAUGUGUCUCACUUGAUUAACUAAAAAAAAAAAAAAGGCAAUUGCACCUAUGGAUAAAUAGUAUAGCUAAGGUGAGUAGAGAUAUCGUAUCCAUGAGGACUAAAAGUAUUAGUAAUUAUCGUUGUAUUAUUUAGUCGACAAUUUGGAGUGAUAGGUUUUAAACAAAAAUUAGUAAACUAAUUUAACUAAGAAUUCAACAGAAAAUAAAUCAGAAAAAUAACUGAAUGAUAACCAAUGAGAGAAACAAUACCCAAGAAAGUAUCCACCUAGACUUCAUCUAUUAUUAUGAAUCUGAAAUAAACAAUUUAUUCACUUGGUAACUUGAUCCAUAGAAUUCCCUAAAUUAUGAUAACAUCUCUUUCGAGAGUAAGAGCAACUGAUUCUAGGUUGAUUAAUUGAAAAUCUUUCUAAUUAAAACCCCUAUCAUCGCAUUAACUCAAUCUAUGAAUUCUCUUAUUAGAUUUGACUCUAAUCCGGUAGAUUUAUGUCAUUCUAUUUCUAGGAUUACAUACAACUCCACUCAAUUAUGCUAGGUCUACUCUUAAACAGGGACUUUCCUCCACUGAAUUAAGCACAUUAAACAUGAAUUAAUAUCUCAAAAAAAUUAAAAUAAAAAAUAAGCAUACAUAAUUGAGAACAAGAAUAAAAUAUUUAUCGCGUAAAACAAAAAUCAAAUAAUAAAAUUCAUCUUAGGUUUCAUCUUCCCUAGGUAUCUAGGGAAUUAGUUCAUAGUUCUGAAUAAAAAUAUCUCAAAGUCAAAAAAACCACAAGAAAUAAAGAAACUCAUAAAAACUUUAGAAGAAAUUAAAAAGAGGUCUUCGAUCUUGAUGGUCUACUUCAGAGUUGACUCUAAUGGUGUUCUUCGAGUUGUUUUCUUUAAUACUCUCUGAUAGCCCCCAUAUCUCUUCUUCGAUUUGGUAUUUAUAGACUUUAGAAUGCUCAGAAAGCCUAAAAAUUGUGUUUUGCCGUGUGUUUGGGAAACAAAUUGAAAAAUUGACACAGUCUGGCACAUGGCUGUUUGUCCAGCCCGUGUGUCUCGCACGACCGUGUGUCCAGCCCAUGUGGGAAGGCCCAACCCGUGUGGCUCUUGAAAUUUACUCUUUUUGUCUGAUUUUCACACAUUUUUCACUCUUUUAGCUCCCAAAUGCUCACCUAAGUAUAGGAACAUGAAUUCAAAGGAUUAGAAGCUUCAAAUUAACCAAUUUGCAUAAAUAAUCAUCCAAAAAUGUAUUAAGAACGAGAUUAAAAUGUGUUGGUUUUAUCAUUUAUCAUAUAUCCCUACACUUAAGCGUUUGCUUGCCCUCAAGCAAAAUCCUCAACUCAAAUUAAAGUUAAUCUUUCUCAACUUGUAAUUCUCAUCAAUAAUAUUUUGAAAUAAUUCGCAAUUAAUCAUGCAUUGACAAUUCAAUUAAAAGGGAACUAAAGAUUCAAACAAUCCAAGUUAAAAUUUUAAAGCAUGAAAACAUAUGCAUCUCCCAUUAUCUAAUUAAUUACUUUAAAUUCAAAAUUUAAAAUAAUUGGCAUCUUCAUUAAAGAUUCACUCAAAGCACUCAAAGUAUUUAAGGUUCAAAAAAUAAGCACUCAACAGUUGAACAAGAAAUGUCAUUAUCAUAGGUGUACAGGCCCAAUUAUGCCCAGCCCAAACUAAAAAACCAAACCCAAUUAAAUACAAACCCUAAAGCCCAAAUCCUAGCCCCUUGCAGAGAAGAGAAAACAGCAGCAGCCUUCAAGCCUCAGCAGCACACUCGGCCAACCAAUGGCCGCCUCGCGCACCACCACAGGCAUAUGCUCCCUCCAUGCGUCUGACACGCCCAUACCCUGCAAACACAAACAACAAAAACAACAACCACAACAGAGGAAUAAGAGCAUUUUUUAUUGUUAUUGUAAUCGGUUAUAAAACCGAAGGGAGAAAUUUUGAAAGAAAAGGGGGAUUGUAUUUUGAAAAGGGGGGGUUUUUUAUUUUUUUACAAAAAGAAAGAUUGUAACACAGAUAUUAGAAAUCAAAAGGCACACAAGCAAAUCUAAGAAAGAUUGGAAACUAAAAGGUGUUCUUGGUUCUUUUUUAUUGUUAUUUAGUUUUUUCUUU
rnacentral:lncRNA from 1 species